UGGGGAAUAUUGCACAAUGGGCGGAAGCCUGAUGCAGCGACGCCGCGUGGGGGAUGAAGGCCUUCGGGUUGUAAACUCCUUUCGACAGGGACGAAGCUUUUGUGACGGUACCUGUAUAAGAAGCACCGGCUAACUACGUGCCAGCAGCCGCGGUAAUACGUAGGGUGCGAGCGUUGUCCGGAAUUACUGGGCGUAAAGAGCUCGUAGGUGGUUUGUCGCGUCGUCUGUGAAAUUCCGGGGCUUAACUCCGGGCGUGCAGGCGAUAAGGGCUGACUUGAGUGCUGUAGGGGAGACUGGAAUUCCUGGUGUAGCGGUGAAAUGCGCAGAUAUCAGGAGGAAUACCGAUGGCGAAGGCAGGUCUCUGGGCAGUAUCUGACGCUGAGGAGCGAAAGCAUGGGUGGCGAACAGG
rnacentral:rRNA from 1 species